rnacentral:rRNA from 1 species
AGUGAACGCUGGCGGUAGGCCUAACACAUGCAAGUCGAACGGCAGCACAAUAAGAGCUUGCUCUUACGGGUGGCGAGUGGCGGACGGGUGAGGAAUACAUCGGAAUCUACUUUUUCGUGGGGGAUAACGUAGGGAAACUUACGCUAAUACCGCAUACGACCUACGGGUGAAAGCAGGGGAUCUUCGGACCUUGCACGAUUGAAUGAGCCGAUGUCGGAUUAGCUAGUUGGCGGGGUAAAGGCCCACCAAGGCGACGAUCCGUAGCUGGUCUGAGAGGAUGAUCAGCCACACUGGAACUGAGACACGGUCCAGACUCCUACGGGAGGCAGCAGUGGGGAAUAUUGGACAAUGGGCGCAAGCCUGAUCCAGCCAUACCGCGUGGGUGAAGAAGGCCUUCGGGUUGUAAAGCCCUUUUGUUGGGAAAGAAAAGCAGCAGGUUAAUACCCCGCUGUUCCGACGGUACCCAAAGAAUAAGCACCGGCUAACUUCGUG